rnacentral:misc_RNA from 1 species
GAUGAAGAACGUAGCGAAAUGCGAUACGUAAUGCGAAUUGCAGAUUCAGCGAGUCAUCGAGUCUUUGAACGCACAUUGCGCCCAUUAGUAUUCUAGUGGGCAUGCCUGUUCGAGCGUCAUUAAUUCCACUUAAGCCCUGCUUAGUGUUGGGAAUCUACUCUAGUGGUGCUACCCUGGAGCUACCCCUGAAAGGGGGCUGGCCCGGUAGCUACCCUGUAGUUCCUCAAAGAUAGUGCGCGGAGUUGCGUGGUCCUCUGAGCUUAGUAACUAUACACCUAGCUUUUGAGUGUCCCGCGGCGCCUGCCGUUUAAACCCCAUCUUUUAAUGGUUGACCUCGGAUCAGGUAGGAAUACCCGCUGAACUUAAGCAUAUCAAUAAGCGGAGGA